rnacentral:rRNA from 1 species
UACGGAGGGGACUAGCGUUGUUCGGAAUUACUGGGCGUAAAGCGCACGUAGGCGGAUUUGUAAGUCAGGGGGUGAAAUCCCGGGGCUCAACCUCGGAACUGCCUUUGAUACUGCAAAUCUUGAGUCCGGAAGAGGUGAGUGGAAUUCCUAGUGUAGAGGUGAAAUUCGUAGAUAUUAGGAAGAACACCAGUGGCGAAGGCGGCUCACUGGUCCGGUACUGACGCUGAGGUGCGAAAGCGUGGGGAGCAAACAGG